GGAUUAGGUUGUCUGUUGUUGUACAUCCUCGCCUAAAUCCCGUUUGGUGUUUUGGAAGACAAGAGGUUAAUGAUAUGGGCCUGUACGAGUCUGUGCGUUCUGGGGGUUUCCCUGGUUUUAGUAUCGGUGUGACUACUGCGUGCUUCCAUGCUUCAGGUUUCCCGUCUUCCCACAUCCCUGAGUGGGCAUUCAAGUCUCCGCCUAUGAUAGUGGUAUUACGUGGGGCGUUAAGGAUGGCUUCUAUGUUUCCUCUUCUGCACGAGUUCCCGUUUGGGCAGUAAAGGGAAAUAAUGUCUAGGUGCGUAUUGUUUCUAGUUUUUAUUGUGACUCCUAUUGCUUCUAUGUCACUAGAUUGGGGGAGUGGCAGUGGUGAAGUUUGAAUAUUUUUUUUAACAAGGAUGGCUACUCCACCACCUUGUGUGGGGCGAUUUAGUGCGAAUGUUUGGUAGGCAGAAAAUUGUGCGGUAUAAUGGUCUU